rnacentral:rRNA from 1 species
CAGUCGCCGCGGUAAUACAGAGGGUGCAAGCGUUAAUCGGAAUUACUGGGCGUAAAGCGCGCGUAGGUGGUUUGUUAAGUUGGAUGUGAAAUCCCCGGGCUCAACCUGGGAACUGCAUCCAAAACUGGCAAGCUAGAGUAUGGUAGAGGGUGGUGGAAUUUCCUGUGUAGCGGUGAAAUGCGUAGAUAUAGGAAGGAACACCAGUGGCGAAGGCGACCACCUGGACUGAUACUGACACUGAGGUGCGAAAGCGUGGGGAGCAAACAGGAUUAGAUACCCCCGUAGUCCCUGUCUCUUAUAC